rnacentral:rRNA from 1 species
CAAUAGCGUAUAUUAAAGUUGUUGCGGUUAAAAAGCUCGUAGUUGGAUUUCUGCCGAGUCCGACCGGUCCGUCCCUACGGGAACGGCACCUGGAUUAGACGAGGUAUUUCUCGGUGGACGUGUUGGCUACUUGAUUGUGCUGCACGGCCUCCGGGGCAUUUACUUUGAGGAAAUUAGAGUGUUUCAAGCAGGCAUCUGCCUUGAAUACAUUAGCAUGGAAUAAUAGGAUAGGACUUCGGUCCUAUUUUGUUGGUUUCUGGGACUGAAGUAAUGAUUAAUAGGGACAGUCGGGGGCAUUCGUACUUAACUGUCAGAGGUGGAAUUCUUGGAUUUGUUAAAGACGAACUACUGCGAAANCANNNGCCAAGGAUGUUUUCAUNGA